GGGUUCAGCCUUGGCCCCGCCCCCAAUGUGUCAAAAGUCCUCGCUCCGCGCGAGCAGAGCUCCACCGGGAAUGUCUGGAUUGGAGCACAGUUAUGGGGCGAAUCUGAUUGGCUCCUUGUGUUUUGGCUUGACGUAAAUCCUGUCCACUGGCGGGACUCGGCAUCUCUGGCUUUUCGUCUGAGAUUUACAGCUUGACCAUUUAUUUACUGAUUAACACUACUUCACCUAAGAGACUUGAGUAUCCAGUUCUUCGUUGACCUUCAGCAUUCAGUUGUUUGUCUUCACCUUUUCAGGACCAAGUGAGACGAGGAAGACCACUGCUUCCAAGAUGCAGCGCUCAGAAAGUGCGUUGCACAAGUCUCGACCUUGCAGAUCCUGCCCCACUUAGCCCAACCACUUCCGACCAUGGGGUACCUCAAAGACCUCCGUCAACCAGCCGGCUGUGGAUGAUGGAUAACGCACCCACAACUCCUUCUCCAGUCUACAAGGUUCUGAAAAUACAAACACCCCCACAGUCCAAGAACAGCUGGAAGACCUCUGGACCCACUUGCCCCUGUUCACCAGUUGAAAAGAUAGGCUUUCUAAAAAAUUCUUCAAUUGUUAAUUCUGCACAAAGUGAUACACAUAACAUUGUAUGUAUUCCAUUUCAACAAACACAAACAUGAAAUGUAUAUUUAAAUACAUGACUUAAUGCAAAUCAAUCAUACUAAACAUCAUCUUUUUUUUUAAAACCAACCAUUGCACACACUUACAUCCAAGGAGAGGUUACAUCUUGAUGGUAACUUUUUUAGAUUAACAAAACUUUUGUGAGAUUUGUAAUUGUUGUUUCUGGGGAGGGGGCGGAGAGGGUAAGUCUAAACAUUGCAGAGU